AGGCACUCAGAGGUCAGAUUCCCGCGAUGGCCAAUCAGCGGUGGCUGCGGAGUAGGGAACAAGGCCGCCCUCACUAGCAACAACUUGAGUCUGCUUCUUUCACCAAGGGCUGCGUGGGUGAGUGCUCCCCUCAGAGUGAGAUUCGCUGCUGCUCCUGGAAAGGACCGAGUAGUGCCGUCUACACAUUUUGCCCAAAGUCAUACGGCUGUUAAGGGUCAGAGGCAAGUUUCAAAUCUCGGUCUGUUGACACUAAAGGCCCUUAGCCAUCUGUCCUUUAUUCUACAUUGGCCUUUCAGAGCAAGAUGUAGGAGACACAGGAGGGUGGAAAGAAAUUCUUUGGCCAAGACUGAAAUAUGGCCAGAUGGUGGAAAUAAAAAAGUAUUCUUUUUGGUCACUCCUAUAGAAGAUACAUUUACAAACCUUCUAUCAAGAACAGUUAUUAAGCCCCUAAACAAACAAAAGUCCCUCGUGCUACAGGAUAAUGCAGGAAAGAAAGCCAAUAAAUCAUUACCCAAAUUUUGGAAAAGUGGCAUGAAUUGC
rnacentral:lncRNA from 10 species